rnacentral:rRNA from 1 species
AACGAACGUUAGCGGCGCGCCUAAUACAUGCAAGUCGAGCGAGAAAGGGAUUCGUCCCCAGUAAAGCGGCGCACGGGUGAGUAACACGUAGGUCAUCUACCCUCGGGUGGUGGAUAACAUUCCGAAAGGAGUGCUAAUACAGCAUAACACCGCAAGGACGAAGCGGGCCUCUCUAUAGAAGCUCGCGCCCGAGGAUGAGCCUGCGGCCCAUCAGCUAGUUGGCAGUGUAAAAGACUACCAAGGCUAAGACGGGUAGCCGGUCUGAGAGGAUGAACAGCCACACUGGAACUGGGACACGGUCCAGACUCCUACGGGAGGCAGCAGUAGGGAAUCUUGCGCAAUGGGCGAAAGCCUGACGCAGCGACGCCGCGUGAGUGAUGAAGGCCUUCGGGUUGUAAAGCUCUGUGGGGAGAGAAGAAUAAGUGCAAGCUAAUACUUUGCAUGAUGACGGUAUCUCCUUAGCAAGCACCGGCUAACUCUGUGCCAGCAGCCGCCGUAA